rnacentral:rRNA from 1 species
UACGUAGGGUGCAAGCGUUGUCCGGAAUUAUUGGGCGUAAAGAGCUCGUAGGCGGUUUGUCGCGUCUGCUGUGAAAACUCGGGGCUUAACUCCGGGCCUGCAGUGGGUACGGGCAGACUAGAGUGCGGUAGGGGAGACUGGAAUUCCUGGUGUAGCGGUGAAAUGCGUAGAUAUCAGGAGGAACACCGGUGGCGAAGGCGCUCAUCUGGCCCAAUACUGACGCUGAAGCGCGAAAGCUAGGGGAGCAAACGGG